GGUGGAUUGGAAAUCAUGGAUUUUCUAUAGGGAUUGAUGAUGUCACACCUGGGGAAAACUUAGUUAAGCAAAAACAGGGGGAAAUUCAUCGAAAUUACAAGAAAUGUGAGGAUUGUAUUACACAAUUUAAUGAAGGAAAGCUAGCUGUGCAACCUGGCUGUGAUGCUGCGCAGACUCUGGAGGCUGAAGUAACUAUGUCGUUG
rnacentral:misc_RNA from 1 species